UACGGAAGGGGCUAGCGUUGUUCGGAAUUACUGGGCGUAAAGAGCGCGUAGGCGGCUUACCAAGUUGGGGGUGAAAUCCCGGAGCUCAACUCCGGAACUGCCUUCAAAGCUGGUAGGCUCGAGUCCGGAAGAGGCGAGUGGAAUUCCCAGUGUAGAGGUGAAAUUCGUAGAUAUUGGGAAGAACACCGGUGGCGAAGGCGGCGCCCUGGUCCCGUACUGACGCUGAGACGCGAAAGCGUGGGGAGCAAACAGG
rnacentral:rRNA from 1 species